UGAGCUUCAACCUGAAAAGAAAUUUUCACUUUAAACUUCACAUCAUUGGCUGGUUUGCCUUUGCCGGAACCUACGCCGGAAGCUUUGUUCUUGCCCAGUUUCGGCUCAACGCAAUCCUUCGCCACAUUUUCAACCAUGCCACUCAAUGUCAACUCAAUAAAAAAAAACAAAGAAAAAAUAAAUAAGUGACUUGUGCGGCAAGCAAAGCAAAUAAAAAAAGUGGCGCAAAAUUUCAAAUUCUGGGCUACUGUCAGUAGCGUGAGUUAACUCACGCCAGUGCUAUCUACCUACGCAACUUAAGUCACGUUUCCCUUACAACUAGCGUGAGUUAAUUCACGCUGAGCCCUACGCCUACUGAAAUGAAAAACGAAACUAUCAGCAAAACCAGCAAAAAUGAAAAAGUUUUGACGGUACAUUACCUGUUCUUUGAUGCUUGAUGAGCGUAGAAACUUGUUUCCUAACGAUUUGCAAUGAUUUGGAAUGAGUAUUUUUACCAAAAAUUUCGCACUUUUGGGGUUUUUGGAGGUGGACGAAAAGA
rnacentral:lncRNA from 1 species